rnacentral:rRNA from 1 species
CCUACGGGUGGCAGCAGUGAGGAAUAUUGGUCAAUGGGCGCGAGCCUGAACCAGCCAAGUAGCGUGAAGGAUGACGGCCCUACGGGUUGUAAACUUCUUUUAUAAGGGAAUAAAGUGAGGCACGUGUGCCCUUUUGUAUGUACUUUACGAAUAAGGAUCGGCUAACUCCGUUCCAGCAGCCGCGGUAAUACGGAGGAUCCGAGCGUUAUCCGGAUUUAUUGGGUUUAAAGGGAGCGUAGAUGGGUUGUUAAGUCAGUGGUGAAAGUUUGGGGCUCAACCCUAGAAUUGCAUUUGAUACUGGCAGCCUUGAGUACAGUAGAGGGAGGCGGAAUUCGUGGUGUAGCGGUGAAAUGCGUAGAUAUCACGAAGAACUCCGAUUGCGAAGGCAGCUUCCUAGACUGCCACUGACGUUGAUGCGCGAAAGUGUGGGUAUCAAACAGGAUUAGAUACCCCGGUAGUC